rnacentral:rRNA from 1 species
GGGAAUUCAGUAGUGAUUCAGGCCUAACACAUGCAAGUCGAACGGCAGCACGGAGCUUGCUCUGGUGGCGAAAAGCGAACGGGUGAGUAAUAUAUCGGAACGUACCCUGGAGUGGGGGAUAACGUAGCGAAAGUUACGCUAAUACCGCAUACGAUCUACGGAUGAAAGUGGGGGAUCGCAAGACCUCAUGCUCGUGGAGCGGCCGAUAUCUGAUUAGCUAGUUGGUAGGGUAAAAGCCUACCAAGGCAUCGAUCAGUAGCUGGUCUGAGAGGACGACCAGCCACACUGGAACUGAGACACGGUCCAGACUCCUACGGGAGGCAGCAGUGGGGAAUUUUGGACAAUGGGCGAA